rnacentral:rRNA from 1 species
GAGUUUGAUCCUGGCUCAGGAUAAACGCUGGCGGCGUGCCUAACACAUGCAAGUCGAACGCUCUGCGCAAGCAGGGAGUGGCGGACGGGUGAGUAACACGUGGGGAUCUACCUUGAAGUGAGGAAUACCGGCGAGAAAUCGCCGACAAUACCGCAUACGUUUCGCAAGAAACAAAGCUCGCAAGGGCGCUUUGAGAUGACCCUGCGGCUGAUUAGCUAGUUGGUGAGGUCAAAGCCCACCAAGGCGACGAUCAGUAGCUGGUCUGAGAGGACGAUCAGCCACACUGGGAUUGAGAACGGCCCAGACUCCUACGGGGGGCAGCAGUGAGGAAUUUUCGUCAAUGGGGGCAACCCUGAACGAGCAACGCCGCGUGCAGGAAGAAGGUUUUCGGAUCGUAAACUGCUUUUCUGUGGGACGAGCAAGGACGGUACCACAGGAAGAAGCCCCGGCUAACUACGUGCCAGCCGCCGCGGUAAU